UAGAAAAACACUUAUCAUUUUAAUAAAUAAAAUGAAAUUAUUUAUUUUAAAAGAAAUAAAAACUAGUAGAGAAAGAGCUUACAGCUGAAAAAAUAUCUUAGAUGCCUUUAGGUACAUAAUGCCAAGGUAUUUCAACAUCGAGUUUCUUCUUCUUCAGUUCUGUUCUAGACUUCUACUAUGCUAUCCUGUUCUAAGGUCUAUUCUCUAUCUUGCUCUGCAUCACCUCGCAUUUAGGAUACAUGGACUGAGCCACUCAAAAAUGGCUACAUCAGUUGUAUGGCAAGAUCUAGGACCAAACAGAUGUGCUACUAGAAAGAAACGAGAUUCAGAGUCCAUAUGUCUUCUGGGAGGGAUUCUAAUCACUACCUUCCUGGAUUUACAACAUACAAAAUGACAAGUGCGUCUAAAUGUGAAAUCCUUAAUGGCAGGUGCCAAUAAUAUUUUGAAGAGAGAGAUAUCAAGAGCAUCAGCUUCAUGCAAAUGGAAAGCAAUAAAAAUUCUAAAUGCUAUUUCCAUCAUACGUCUUCCAUCUUUCUAUUACAACCCUGAACUGAUUAUCCCUUUUCCUGACCUGCAAGCACCAAAGUGUUUUGAGUUCUUGACAGUGGUGAUGCGGCUUAGAAGCAAAAUAAGUUCAUAACGAAGGAAAAUGGAAGCAUCUGAAGAGAUUACGUCAACAAAACCAUAUCCCAUUAGAAAAUGGCAAUGUUUAAAAUAGAAAAUGUUAAGAUGGUUACACGUGCACAUGCACACAUGCAAAUUAUGUUUGCUUUAAUGUACCGCCUGAGCAAAAUUACAACCAUCAUGUAUGAGAAGCCUAAAUAUACAGCAGAAGCAAUAAAUAAAUGAUAUAUGCCAUCUGAAGAAUACGUAUGUCUACAAACAUUUUGAACUUGUUUUGAUACAGACUCUAAAGUCUAAACCAGUCUUUGACUUUUAUGGAAUUGAAAGUUGGGACAAACCCUUGUCACCAUUAACUCUUAAAAAUAUUGUAAUCAAUUACCCUAGAUUUUAAAUGCAUAGCGACUGAAAGAAUUACCUCAACUAAUGGGUUUUCUCCACGAAGCAACAUAUCCACACUCUUCUCUGUCCGAUGUGUAACCCAAUAAUGCCUCUCUCUCAUCUCAAUCAGGAAACAAAAUGUUGGAGGACCUUUUCUUUCAAGAAUGCUUUUCUGACUCCUCCUAGCUCGGGCUUCCUCAUCUCCUAAGGUAACAGUUUCUACUCCCCCAAUCUGAAACAACAAAAUUGACAAUUAUGAAACUUUAACAAGCAUUCUAGGAUGUAAAUUGCAUUUCCAUUCAUCAAUUAUCAAAACCUCAUCCAUUCAUCACAAGCAAAUUUGACUCAGAAUAUUCAGUAGCAUGCAUGAAAUGUAAGAAAACAGGUCUUGUCAAAUCAACAUUUAAGGCUGUUUUACAAAGAAAAAAAGGUACUUACAGAAAACACUCUUAAUGUUUGCUGCAUGUUACAUUAUGUUCUUCCAUUUUAAAAAACUAGUAAUUUAGUUAGUCAAUGGCUCUUAUAGAACUCAUUGUAACUUUGGAAACAAGAGGAGACCAAACUGUAUAUUACACAAUCUCAGGGAUUCUUUUGCAGUUUUCCCUCAUUUUAAAAGAAUAUUUGGAUAUCAAAUUCCAAUAAAAGACAAUGAAAUUUUAGAAGAAUGAGAUUAGACAAUCAAAUAGAAAUUUCAUAGUCCUGUAAUUGAACAGCAUUAACAAUUUUUAGAAAAACAAAGAAACUUUAGGUAAUCUGAAACUUGUUAAUAAGCUGCUUUGCAAUAAUACUUUUAGUAUCAAUAAAAACAAUCCACAUAAAGAGAGAGGAAAAAGGAGAAAUCAAUUCACUUUGCAAUGUAAACUAAUACAAGAAAGAAAAACUGAACAAGAGGACAAGAUAGACAUCUUUGCAUGCUAUUUGUACACCAAUUGUGUUCUAACAUAGGCAAUGAUGUAAACCACAACAAAGAAACAAAAUAAAACAACAACAAAAUGAAAAUAGUAAUAAGGAAACAAAUAUAAAUAUCUCUAAAGGAAUUUCACCUACUUAACUGAAAUACUAAUUUGUAAUGAAAUAAAAAAUGUAUGCUCUUCAAAACCUCUGAACUUCAACACUUGACCAAUCAGAACACACACGUAAAGCCUAAAAUUUCCAAAACAAAGAACUAAAAACAGCUCCCAAAUUUCUUUUUUCUUUGUCACAUUACUUUGGUGUAGGAGUCCUAAAUAACACCUCUACUAACAGUAAUUAGCAGUGUCUAAUAAUGAUUACCAUCCCCAUUUAUUAUCACCUAGAACAGGGAGGUAAGAUAUUCAAAAGACAAAUUAAAUCAAGCAUCAAACAAGAGAAAAUUAAUAAAACUAAGUAUUGACAAAAAUGCAAAGGGUGACAUUCAAGGAUAUGUUUUUAUGAGGAUAUUUAGCAUUCUGUCCAUAGUUCAAUAAAGAAAAUGUAUAAGAGUGAGAGAAUCACUUUACACAUCAAUACUCUAAACCAUAGUUAUUAAAGGCU
rnacentral:misc_RNA from 1 species